CUACCAGUAGUCAGAGAAGCAGGAGCUCUGGGAGCAAUGAUGCAAGGAGAAGCUUGACUGGAGGAUCACCACUAAGAAGCAAGCCCUGGUCAGUGCCCCCCAUUCCAUGCACACCAAAUCCCCAAAACAAAGCAGUGCAGCCACGUAGCUCGUGUAGAAUAAGCACAGACCUUCUCUCAGAAGCAGCAUACUUCUAACUCAGGAGCCUUAGCUGUAAUGAAUUCACCUGUAGUACUGGAGCAAUACGAAUCUAAAAAUUACAGAAAUAUAUUGUGACCAUAAAGAAUAGCAACCUGUGGACUUCCAGGGAGAAUGGAAGCCCUGAUACAGAUGCUGAGGCAUUCACCCUGGUAGUGGGAAUGGAGCAGAUAAGAUUGUAACCUACGGUUUGGCUAUAAUGCUGCGUCAGUGUCAGCGACAUCCUGGAUGUGGAGGAAGAAGUGGUGGCCCAGACAGGCAAAGAUGCCUGGUUGGGACUCUCAAUUAACCAGCAUAUUUUGCUAUCCAGCGCCCCCUCCCCCCCCCCCCCUUCCCUAUGCUUUUUUCUCCAGAACAGAAGUAACCCCAAGAAGCCAAAACUACAAUAGACCUGAUCAUGGACCAAUCAAAAAAAAAAAUCAAUGUAACUUUUUCAAAUGAAUUUGCAAAAGAGGAGGGUUAAUGUUUAUUAUUUAAGUAUAUGCUAUUGUUCUUUUCUAUGAUCUUACAUUGGUACUCUCUUUUUCUUCAGUUUCCUUGCUGUAUUUAUUCCACUUUAAAAGAAAACCCAAAAAUAGUGCUAUUUUUUUUUUAAAUUAAGACACUACUAAUUUUUAACUGAUUAACAAAGGGUGGAGAAAUAGGCAACCCAUACCUA